UAGGGAAUCUUCGGCAAUGGACGAAAGUCUGACCGAGCAACGCCGCGUGAGUGAAGAAGGUUUUCGGAUCGUAAAACUCUGUUGUUAGAGAAGAACAAGGACGUUAGUAACUGAACGUCCCCUGACGGUAUCUAACCAGAAAGCCACGGCUAACUACGUGCCAGCAGCCGCGGUAAUACGUAGGUGGCAAGCGUUGUCCGGAUUUAUUGGGCGUAAAGCGAGCGCAGGCGGUUUCUUAAGUCUGAUGUGAAAGCCCCCGGCUCAACCGGGGAGGGUCAUUGGAAACUGGGAGACUUGAGUGCAGAAGAGGAGAGUGGAAUUCCAUGUGUAGCGGUGAAAUGCGUAGGUAUAUGGAGGAACACCAGUGGCGAAGGCGGCUCUCUGGUCUGUAACUGACGCUGAGGCUCGAAAGCGUGGGGAGCAAACAGG
rnacentral:rRNA from 3 species